AUUGAACGCUGGCGGAAUGCUUUACACAUGCAAGUCGAGCGGCAGCGCGGGGGCAACCCUGGCGGCGAGCGGCGAACGGGUGAGUAAUACAUCGGAACGUGUCCUUAAGUGGGGGAUAGCUCGGCGAAAGCCGGAUUAAUACCGCAUAAGCUCUGAGGAGGAAAGCGGGGGCUCCGUAAGGACCUCGCGCUGUUGGAGCGGCCGAUGUCGGAUUAGCUAGUUGGUGGGGUAAAGGCCCACCAAGGCGACGAUCCGUAGCUGGUCUGAGAGGAUGAUCAGCCACACUGGAACUGAGACACGGUCCAGACUCCUACGGGAGGCAGCAGUGGGGUAAUUUUGGACAAUGGGCGCAAGCCUGAUCCAGCCAUG
rnacentral:rRNA from 1 species